rnacentral:rRNA from 1 species
CAAUACACAUUGAUGGCGAGCGGCGGACGGGUGAGUAAUGCAUGGGAAUCUGCCCAGUAGCGGGGGACAACCCGGAGAAAUCCGGGCUAAUACCGCAUACGCCCUACGGGGGAAAGCGGGGGACCGAAAGGCCUCGCACUAUUGGAGGAGCCCAUGUCCGAUUAGCUAGUUGGUGAGGUAACGGCUCACCAAGGCAACGAUCGGUAGCUGGUCUGAGAGGACGAUCAGCCACACCGGAACUGAGACACGGUCCGGACUCCUACGGGAGGCAGCAGUGGGGAAUAUUGCGCAAUGGGCGAAAGCCUGACGCAGCGACGCCGCGUGGGGGAUGACGCUUUUCGGAGUGUAAACCCCUUUCGAUCGGGACGAAUGCCUCGCAAGAGGAGUGACGGUACCGGUAGAAGAAGCCCCGGCUAACUACGUGCCAGCAGCCGCGGUAAUACGUAGGGGGCCA